rnacentral:rRNA from 1 species
CUACGGGUGGCUGCAGUGAGGAAUAUUGCGCAAUGCCCGAAAGGGUGACGCAGCGACGCCGCGUGAAGGAUGAAGACCCUAUGGGUUGUAAACUUCUGUAGAGAGGGAAGAAUAUUUCGCUAUAUGCGGAAUUGACGGUACCUCUAAAGUAAGGAUCGGCCAACUACGUGCCAGCAGCGCGCGGUAAUACGUAGGAUCCGAGCGUUGUCCGGAUUUACUGGGUGUAAAGGGAGCGCAGGCGGACUUUUAAGUCGGUGGUGAAAUCUCGAAGCUUAACUUCGAAACUGCUUCCGAAACUAUUAGUCUUGAAGAUAGAAGAGGGCGAUGGAAUUCAUGGUGUAGCAGUAAAAUGCGUAGAUAUCAUGAAGAACACCAGUCGCGAAGGCGGUCGCCUGGUCUAGUAUUAACGCUCAUGCUCGAAAGUGUGGGGAGCAAACAGGAUUAGAUACCCGUGUAGUC